CCCUUAGAUGUUCUGGGCUGCACGCGUGUUACAAUCGGGAGUACAACAAGAUUGCAAAUCCUAGUGGAUGAGUGGUUCUUCGAAAUUUUCUGAAGACUGGGAUAGUUGAUUGAAAUUAUUCAACUCAAACGAGGAAUUCCUUGUAAUUGUAAUUCAUUAUAUUGUAAUGAAUACGUCCCUGCCCUUUGUACACACCGCCCGUCGCUCCUAUCGAUUGAACGAUCCGGUGAAUUAUUUGGAGUAGCUCUGGAAGUUGCAGAACUUCCUAUGUCACGAAAUUUUGUAAACCUUAUCGUUUAGAGGAAGGAAAAGUCGUAACA
rnacentral:rRNA from 1 species